AUUGAACGCUGGCGGCAGGCCUAACACAUGCAAGUCGAACGGUAACAGGAAGCAGCUUGCUGCUUCGCUGACGAGUGGCGGACGGGUGAGUAAUGUCUGGGAAACUGCCUGAUGGAGGGGGAUAACUACUGGAAACGGUAGCUAAUACCGCAUAACGUCGCAAGACCAAAGAGGGGGACCUUCGGGCCUCUUGCCAUCGGAUGUGCCCAGAUGGGAUUAGCUAGUAGGUGGGGUAACGGCUCACCUAGGCGACGAUCCCUAGCUGGUCUGAGAGGAUGACCAGCCACACUGGAACUGAGACACGGUCCAGACUCCUACGGGAGGCAGCAGUGGGGAAUAUUGCACAAUGGGCGCAAGCCUGAUGCAGCCAUGCCGCGUGUAUGAAGAAGGCCUUCGGGUUGUAAAGUACUUUCAGCGGGGAGGAAGGGAGUAAAGUUAAUACCUUUGCUCAUUGACGUUACCCGCAGAAGAAGCACCGGCUAACUCCGUGCCAGCAGCCGCGGUAA
rnacentral:rRNA from 1 species